rfam:Salinicoccus halodurans strain H3B36, complete genome.
GAAUAUGGAUGAGGCGCAUCAAUCAUGAGUAGCCGCUUGUAACAGUCUGCGAACUGGAGCGUGUGAAAGGGUGCGAUGCCGAAAUAGUUUUCUGUUGCAGCAGGACUCUGUUGGAUCUGGUGGUUAAGAGCUACGGGUUUGUCAUUAUUUUUUGAAUAAUGGAGUGCAUCACUUGUA